CCUACGGGUGGCUGCAGUGAGGAAUAUUGGUCAAUGGACGAGAGUCUGAACCAUCCAAGUAGCGUGAAGGAUGACUGCCCUAUGGGUUGUAAACUUCUUUUAUAUGGGAAUAAAAUGUUCCACGUGUGGGAUUUUGUAUGUACCAUAUGAAUAAUGAUCGGCUAACUCCGUGCCAGCAGCCGAGGUAAUACGGAGGAUCCGAUCGUUAUCCGGAUUUAUUGGGUUUAAAGGGAGAGUAGGUGGAUUGUUAAGUCAGUUGUGAAAGUUUGAGGCUCAACCGUAAAAUUGCAGUUGAAACUGGCAGUCUUGAGUACAGUAGAGGUGGGCGGAAUUCGUGGUGUAGCGGGGAAAUGCUUAGAUAGCACGAAGAACUCCGAUUGCGAAGGCAGUUCACUGGACUGCAACUGACACUGAGGCUCGAAAGUGUGGGUAUCAAACAGGAUUAGAUACCCCGGUAGUC
rnacentral:rRNA from 1 species